GACGAACGCUGGCGGCGUGCUUAACACAUGCAAGUCGAACGGAAAGGCCCUGCUUUUGUGGGGUGCUCGAGUGGCGAACGGGUGAGUAACACGUGAGUAACCUGCCCUUGACUUUGGGAUAACUUCAGGAAACUGGGGCUAAUACCGGAUAGGAGCUCCUGCUGCAUGGUGGGGGUUGGAAAGUUUCGGCGGUUGGGGAUGGACUCGCGGCUUAUCAGCUUGUUGGUGGGGUAGUGGCUUAUCAAGGCUUUGACGGGUAGCCGGCCUGAGAGGGUGACCGGCCACAUUGGGACUGAGAUACGGCCCAGACUCCUACGGGAGGCAGAAGUGGGGAAUAUUGCACAAUGGGCGGAAGCCUGAUGCAGCAACGCCGCGUGCGGGAUGACGGCCUUCGGGUUGUAAACCGCUUUCGCCUGUGACGAAGCGUGAGUGACGGUAAUGGGUAAAGAAGCACCGGCUAACUACGUG
rnacentral:rRNA from 1 species